CCUACGGGGGGCAGCAGUGGGGAAUAUUGCACAAUGGGGGGAACCCUGAUGCAGCAAUGCCGCGUGGGUGAAGAAGCACUCCGGUGCGUAAAGCCCUGUCAGCAGGGAAGAAAAUGACAGUACCUGGACAAGAAGCCCCGGCUAACUACGUGCCAGCAGCCGCGGUAAUACGUAGGGGGCAAGCGUUAUCCGGAUUUACUGGGUGUAAAGGGAGCGCAGGCGGCGUGGCAAGUCAGAUGUGAAAACCCGGGGCCCAACCCCGGGAGUGCAUUUGAAACUGCCAUGCUGGAGUGCCGGAGAGGUAAGCGGAAUUCCUAGUGUAGCGGUGAAAUGCGUAGAUAUUAGGAGGAACACCAGUGGCGGAGGCGGCUUACUGGACGGUAACUGACGCUGAGGCUCGAAAGCGUGGGGAGCAAACAGGAUUAGAUACCC
rnacentral:rRNA from 1 species